AAGAAAUUAAAAAAUCAAUAAUUAAUAUCGCCUUACUAUAGCAUAUUUUAAUUACACGCUCGAAGUGAAAUGAAAAGAAUCGUUACGGUCUGUAAUAUGAAAAGGAUGAAUUAUCGAUGAUACGAGUAAAUCCGACAAAUAGUUCUCUCAUAGGAACUGUACGAAGCGAACGCCCAUAGGAACGUAGAACAAGUUCAUAAAACAUUUAAAAUGUCCCAUUCCGUGGAACAUUAAGGCGUUAAUAAUAUGAGCUAGAAGGAGAUGGCAGGAAGGAGGAUGGAGUACAUUUAUUCGUUAUGUACGGUCGCGAACGUGGUAACCCUAGAGGCUGCUGGAGUCUGUUAACCGAGGAAGCCUUUGAAUCUUGAUAAGAGCAAAUACAAUCUACCCUUGGAGAGGAUCUUAGAGCGUGUAUGUGAAUGCGCGUAUGCGUAUGUGUAUAUAUGUGUGUAUGUGAACGCGCAUGCGCAACCGUGUUGGUCAGUUCGCGCGGUUUUCCAAAGAGCCAUCACAUCGCGCGUCUCGAGUUACCGGCAUCGUACGUAAGUACAUAUUCACAUAUGUAAGUAUCUAUGUGUGUGCUCACGUAUAUGUGUGCGCAAUACAAAAGUAGAAGAGAAAGAGAAGUUUCUCGUUCUUUCCGCAUUCUCGACACGCCGCGGUGUUCGCGAGUGUUAAAGCGGACAACGCGUUCGAGUACAAAUGCAGCUGGGCUCGUCUCUUUAGCUCUUUCCUCUUGCCUCAAGUGCCAACGAGAGGAAAUGAGGAGGAUAAGGAGAGAAUAAGGAAGAAGAGGAAAAGAGAGAAGAAGAGAGGAGGAGGAGGAGGAAGAAGAGGAGGAGGAGGAGGAGGUUGUACUAGACACGGGUGUUACCCAUAGACGAGUUUUUAAAUUCCACGACGUUCCUGUAGGAUUCAGACUCAACUCGGCCACCGCGAACUCUUACCGUACACAGUUAAGGACUCUCCUUGAGUUUGCCUUUUCCAUGUAACCGUCCUCUUAGAAGAGUUACAACUGUCGUUGGAUCGAUGUAAAUUCAAGUUGUUAACAUGUACGAGAGAAAGAAAAUAAUCGAAAGGUGAUUGUGAAAUCGACCAUUUCCUUUAUCUCACAUUCGGUAUAAAUGUACCGGUUGGCCUUGGUAAUAUAGACGACGCCCACC